GAUCAUGGCUCAGGAUGAACGCUAGCUACAGGCUUAACACAUGCAAGUCGAGGGGCAGCAUGGUCUUAGCUUGCUAAGGCUGAUGGCGACCGGCGCACGGGUGAGUAACACGUAUCCAACCUGCCGUCUACUCUUGGCCAGCCUUCUGAAAGGAAGAUUAAUACAAGGUGGCAUCAUGAGUCCGCAUGUUCACAUGAUUAAAGGUAUUCCGGUAGACGAUGGGGA
rnacentral:rRNA from 1 species